rnacentral:rRNA from 1 species
AGGAUGAACGCUGGCGGCGUGCCUAAUACAUGCAAGUCGAGCGGUAAGGCCCCUUCGGGGGUACACGAGCGGCGGACGGCUGAGUAACACGUAGGAACGUACCCCAAACUGAGGGAUAAGCACCAGAAAUGGUGUCUAAUACCGCAUGUGGUCUUCGGAUUAAAGCUUCGGCGGUUUGGGAACGGCCUGCGCAUGAUUAGCUUGUUGGUGAGGUAAAAGCUUACCAAGGCGACGAUCAUUAGCUGGUCUGAGAGGAUGAUCAGCCAGACUGGGACUGAGAACGGCCCAGACUCCUACGGGAGGCAGCAGUAGGGAAUUUUCCACAAUGGGCGAAAGCCUGAUGGAGCAACGCCGCGUGCAGGACGAAGGCCUUCGGGUUGUAAACUGCUUUUAUAUGUGAAGAUUAUGACGGUAGCAUAUGAAUAGGAUCGGCUAACUCCGUGCCAGCAGCUGC